rnacentral:piRNA from 1 species
UUCAGUUCUGAGUUCUUAUGAUGGGAUAAU